rnacentral:rRNA from 1 species
UACGAAGGGGGCUAGCGUUGCUCGGAAUCACUGGGCGUAAAGCGCACGUAGGCGGAUUGUUAAGUCAGGGGUGAAAUCCUGGAGCUCAACUCCAGAACUGCCUUUGAUACUGGCGAUCUCGAGUCCGGGAGAGGUGAGUGGAACUGCGAGUGUAGAGGUGAAAUUCGUAGAUAUUCGCAAGAACACCAGUGGCGAAGGCGGCUCACUGGCCCGGGUACUGACG